rnacentral:lncRNA from 1 species
UCUGGGAAUCCGGGAUCCUACGGAAAUUCGGGAUCCUAUGGGGGAUCCAGCUCAGGAUCCUACGGAUCCGGGUCAGGCCGGCCUGGAUCCCAAGGGGGAAUUGGAUCGGGAUCGGGAAGACCCGGAUCUGGAUCCGGAUCGGGCAAACCGGGAUCGGGAUCGGGAUCAGGCAGACCGGGAUCCCAAGGGGGAGGCGGAUCCGGCUCCUACGGGGGAUCCUCGGGAUCCUACGGGGGAUCCUCGGGAUCCUAUGGGGGAUCCUCGGGAUCCUAUGGGGAUGAUGAUGCGGGAUCCUACGGAGGGGAUUCGGGAUCCUAUGGAAAUUCAGGAUCCUACGGAAAUUCGGGAUCCUACGGAGGAGGAUCAGGAUCCUAUGGAAAACCUGGAUCCUAUGGGGGAUUGGGAUCCUAUGGAAAACCUGGAUCCUAUGGGGGUGGAUCGGGAUCCUAUGGGGGAUCGGGAUCCUACGGAGGGGGAUCGGGAUCCUAUGGGGGAUCGGGAUCCUACGGGGGGUCGGGAUUCUCCGGGGGGGAUUUGGGAUCCUCCGGGGGAUCCCGGCAGCGCCCCGGCUACAAAAACCCCGGGAUCCCCUUUGUGCCGGGGCUGCAGCACCCGGCCCGGAUCGGGGGGAGCUUCCCGAUCCGCCGGGGACCGGGAUCCGGAACGGGAUCCGGAAUGGGAUCCGGUCUGGGAUCCAGACUGGGAUCAUCACAGGGAUCCGGUCUGGGAUCCAGACUGGGAUCCGGCUCGGGAUCCGGAUUGGGACCCGGAGUGGGAUCCGGUUCGGGAUCUGGCUCCGGAUCCGGACUGGGACCUGGAGUGGGAUCCGGUUCGGGAUCCGGCUCUGGAUCUUCCCAGGGAUCCUCCCAGGGAUCCGGGGCCGGAACCGAUCCGGGAUCCGGCUCCAGGGACGGGAACGGCUGCGGGGGGUGCCGGAAAUAGGGGAGGGGUCCCAGAAGGUUCCGGAGGAUCCCGGAAGAUCCUGGAGGAUCCCAGAAGGUCUCAGAGGGUUCUGGAGGAUCCUGGAGGAUCCCAAAGGGUCCUGGAGGGUUCCAGAGGAUCCCGGAAGAUCCUGGAGGGUCCUGGAAGGUUCUUGAGGCUUCUGGAGGAUCACGGAAGGUUCCGGAGGGUUCCAAAGGAUCCUGGAAGAUCCCGGGGGAUUCCAGAGGAUUUUGGAAGAUCCCGGAGGAUUCCAGAGGAUCCGGAAGGGUUCCAGAGGAUUCCAGAGGAUCCUGGAGGGUUCCGGGGGGUUCCAGAAGAUUCCGGAGGAUCCCAAAUAAAAGUCUUGGAUCUGCUGGUGGCCUCGUCACGGUGAUGGCAGCGGGGGGGGGGUACUGGGAAUACUGGGAUGGGGGCACUGGGGAUACUGGGGGUACUGGGAGAGGGAUACUGGGAAUACUGG